GCUGUGGUCUAGUGGUAUGAUACCUCCUUCGGGCUAAUUGUCCCCUCGGCGAGUUGAGGAAUGAAUGGAGGUGGUCCUGGAUUCGAAUUCCAGCUGGGCC